ACGGAGGGUGCAAGCGUUAAUCGGAAUUACUGGGCGUAAAGGGUGCGUAGGUGGUUUGAUAAGUUAACUGUGAAAGCCCUGGGCUCAACCUGGGAAGGCCAGUUAAGACUGUUGAACUAGAGUAUGGGAGAGGAUAGUGGAAUUUCCGGUGUAGCGGUGAAAUGCGUAGAGAUCGGAAGGAACACCAGUGGCGAAGGCGGCUAUCUGGCCUAAUACUGACACUGAAGCACGAAAGCGUGGGGAGCAAACAGG
rnacentral:rRNA from 1 species